rnacentral:rRNA from 1 species
AUACGGAGGAUGCAAGCGUUAUCCGGAUUUAUUGGGUUUAAAGGGUGCGUAGGCGGUUUGCUAAGCGGGAGGUGAAAUGCCGGCGCUCAACGUCGGAAGUGCCUCCCGAACUGGUGGACUUGAAUGACUCUGCCGUGGGAGGAAUGUGUAGUGUAGCGGUGAAAUGCUUAGAGAUUACACAGAACACCGAUUGCGAAGGCAUCUCACGAAGGGUUGAUUGACGCUGAGGCACGAAAGCGUGGGGGUCAAACAGGAUUAGAUACCCUGGUAGUCCACGCAGUAAACGAUGAUGGCUAACCGCUGGGCUUAUCAGUUCAGUGGCCAAGCGAAAGCGAUAAGUUAUCCACCUGGGGAGUACGACCGCAAGGUUGAAACUCAAAGGAAUUGACGGGG